rnacentral:rRNA from 1 species
UGCAGUCGAGCGGAACGAUGAUAGCUUGCUAUCAGGCGUCGAGCGGCGGACGGGUGAGUAACGCGUAGGAAUCUGCCUAGUAGUGGGGGACAACAUGUGGAAACGCAUGCUAAUACCGCAUACGCCCUGAGGGGGAAAGAUGGGGAUCUUCGGACCUAUCGCUAUUAGAUGAGCCUGCGUAAGAUUAGCUAGUUGGUGGGGUAAUGGCCUACCAAGGCGACGAUCUUUAGCUGGUCUGAGAGGAUGAUCAGCCACACUGGGACUGAGACACGGCCCAGACUCCUACGGGAGGCAGCAGUGGGGAAUAUUGCACAAUGGGCGCAAGCCUGAUGCAGCCAUGCCGCGUGUGUGAAGAAGGCUUUCGGGUUGUAAAGCACUUUCAGCGAGGAGGAAAGGUUAGUAGUUAAUACCUGCUAACUGUGACGUUACUCGCAGAAGAAGCACCGGCUAACUCCGUGCCAGCAGCCGCGGUAAUACGGAGGGUGCAAGCGUUAAUCGGAAUUACUGGGCGUAAAGCGCGCGUAGGCGGUUUGUUAAGCUAGAUGUGAAAGCCCCGGGCUCAACCUGGGAACUGCAUUUAGAACUGGCAGGCUAGAAUACGGUAGAGGUUAGUGGAAUUUCCUGUGUAGCGGUGAAAUGCGUAGAGAUGGGAAGGAACACCAGUGGCGAAGGCGACUGACUGGACCGAUAUUGACGCUGAGGUGCGAAAGCGUGGGUAGCAAACAGGAUUAGAUACCCUGGUAGUCCACGCCGUAAACGAUGUCUACUAGCCGUUGGGCUCCUUGAGAGCUUUGUGGCGCAGCUAACGCGAUAAGUAGACCGCCUGGGGAGUACGGUCGCAAGAUUAAAACUCAAUGAAUUGACGGGG